UUUGAGACAUGAGAAGGGGAAUAAGAGAGUGAGGGAGUGUGCCACUGCCACUGCCAAUAUUGCAACUGUCCGCGCUUUUCUCUCUCUCCAGCAGCAGUUGUCUAUCGAAUUCGGAACGAACGAUUCUCGUGUGUGGAUGGUAUGGAGGAGGAAAAAUCAUGAAAGAUUUCAAUGCAGCAUUUUUAUUCAGGUUGCUAUAUAGACUAUAAGGUAUUAUGUUCAGUUGAUUGGGAAAAGUUAUAAAAUUGGUAUGAAUAAUAA